AUGUUCCCUGUAUCUCUGCUGCUGCUGUCAGCUGCCUCCUGUGUUCAUGGUCAGACACUGACUGAGUCUGGACCAGUUGUUAAAAAGCCUGGAGAAUCCAACACACUGAGUUGUACAGCCUCUGGGUUCACAUUCAGUAGCUACCAUAUGGCUUGGAUGAAACAGGCUCCUGGGAAAGGACUUGAGUUUGUUGCCUUUAUACACACUGGUGGAUCGAGUCCAUUCUAUUCCCAGACAGUCCAGGGUAGAUUCACCAUCUCCAGAGAAGACUCCAGCAGUAAACUGUUUCUACAGAUGAACAGUCUGAAGAGUGAGGACACAGCACUGUAUUACUGUGCCCGGUACACACAUUGA